GACGAACGCUGGCGGCGUGCCUAAUACAUGCAAGUCGAACGCUUCUUUCCUCCCGAGUGCUUGCACUCCAUUGGAAAGAGGAGUGGCGGACGGGUGAGUAACACGUGUGUAACCUACCCAUCAGAGGGGGAUGACACUUGGAAACAGGUGCUAAUACCGCAUAGCAGUUUAUGCCGCAUGGCAUAAGAGUGAAAGGCGCUUUCGGGUGUCGCUGAUGGAUGGACCCGCGGUGCAUUAGCUAGUUGGUGAGGUAACGGCUCACCAAGGCCACGAUGCAUAGCCGACCUGAGAGAGUGAUCGGCCACACUGGGACUGAGACGCGGCCCAGACUCCUACGGGAGGCAGCAGUAGGGAAUCGUCGGCAAUGGACGAAAGUCUGAGCGAGCAACGCCGCGUGAGUGAAGAAGGUUUUCGGAGCGUAAAACUCGGUUGUUAGAGAAGAACAAGGACGUUAGUAACUGAACGUCCCCUGACGGUAUCUAACCAGAAAGCCACGGCUAACUACGUG
rnacentral:rRNA from 1 species